GCCCUUCUUAGACUCUUCCUAACAGCAACUCUGAGAGACAGUGGGUUGUGGGCCAGACAGAGGACCAAGCCGUUUCAACUUACCUGUCAGAACUUGGAAAAUUAACCAAAGGCUUGCAACAAUCUGAAGAGCAUUUAUUCAAGAAAAAUGGGAAAAUCUCAGUAAGAAGAGUGAGCUUUGUGACAUUUUGAUUUACAUAUUUCCAUCAUCUUCUCCUCAGCAUCACAGAAGCCUUGAAAUUCAACUACCUUGAAGUCACAGUAGCCAUAAUGUGAUUGACAGAAUAAUGGCCCCCACGGAUGUGCAUAUCACAAUCCCCCAAAGCUAUAAUUACAUUGUGCUAAAUGGCAAAAAGUUACUGCGCAUAUGUGAUUAAGUUAAGGCUCCAAAUAUGGAGAAAUUAUCUUGUAUUAUCUAUGAGGCCUUGAUAUAAUCACAGGUGACCUUAUAGGACAAAGGCAGAAAGUAAAAGAGGGAAGGAGACGCUAUACUAUACUGCUGAUUGUGAAGAGGGAGGAAGGAGGCCACAAACCAAGGGAUACAGGCAGCCUCUGGAACAUGGAUAAGGCCAGAAAACAAAACAAAACCAAACCUGAAACAAAACAUAUUUUUUGUUUCCUUGGAGCCCCUAGAAAGAACAGAGUCCUGACGAUUCAAAUUAGAUUUCUUAACUUCAUAACUGUAAUAUCAUACAUGUGUUGUUUUAAGGCACUAAGUACGUAGUGAUGUGUUAUAGCAGCAAUAGGAAAUUAAUACAGGUUUUGGUACCUGGAAGUGGGACAUUGUUUGCUGUAGCAAGUACCUAAAAAUACAUAAGUGGCUUUGGAAUUGUGUAAUGGGUUUAAGCUGGAAGAACUUUGAGGAGCAUAAUAGAAAAUUCCUGGAUUACUUUACAAGACUGUUAGUGGAAAUAUAGUUAUUAACAGUACUGUACAUGAGAGCUGAGAAGGAAGUUAUAGGAAACAUGAAGAAACUGUAUUCUUUUUAUAUAAUGAUAGAAUGCUUAGCUGAACUGUGUCAUAAUGUUAUUUUGAAAGAUAAAUUUGAUUUUUAGUUGGGAUUCCAAGCAAAGUGUUGAAAUUGUGGUUUGGUUUCUUCCUUGUGCUUAUAGCAUAAUGUGGGGGAUAAAAAAAGAA